CUGGAGGCUCUGACACGAAAGUCCCAGCCUGGGUUUGCUGUUGUUGCUCACGUAGAUGACUUGGAGGUGUCAGAUGGAAGCCCAAACUGAAUGUGCUGGGCUUUAAAGUAAAAGCCCGCAGCUCUGAGAGGCAAGAGCUUCCACAGGGAGGUAGUAAAUAUUUGAUGGGAACUUCCAGCUCCUCCUGACUCAGGUGACCCUGGUGACAUUUCAGAACAUUGGGCCGGAGAAUUCACUUAAUGACUGAGAAAUUAGAAGGAGAAACAAAAGCACGUCACUACAAUGCUCAGAGCUCAGAAAGGACUCAUGCAGGCAAAUUCUGCAAGACAGGAAAGAAAGGACUCUUUUUUUUUUUUUUUUUCAGGAGCUGAGUCAGAUCAGCUGCAAACUGAGUAACCAGAAAGUGUAUGAUUCUAGGCCAAUGACCUACCCUUCCAAACUGCUAGGUACAGCCAGGGCCCUGGCUAUCUGGUUCACUGUUGUCUUCCUGGUGUCUAGCAAAUGUCUGAACAAACAAACCACAGGAACUAAGGAAACCCCUGAAGGUUUCCUUAAUAAAUGCUCAAGAAAUAAUUGAUAAAUGAACGAAUUGGUAUCACCCAUUCAACAACCCAGCACUCCUGCUGCAACCCAGCCCCAAUCCAAAGACCACUCGUGCCCUGGCAGCCUACACCUCCUCAUUAACACAAACCACUGCAGUGAACUCCCCUGACACAUCGCCUCACUAACUCUCACGGCUCUGCAUCCACAUCUCUACUCCAGAGAACUGUUUCCAGCUAACUCGGCUAACGAGGGCUCCCUGCAGGAACAAAGCCACACACCACUGCCCUAUGGCCCCACCACAGCAGCCCCACGCAACCCAAAUCCAUGUGCGGCUGCCUUCAUGUCAGACCUCCACCAGCAUCAGCCACUGCCGAGUAGUAUUUUGAAAAGAAAUGUGCAGAUCUGAAGCAAAACACACAGGGCCUCCUUGGAAUUCUGAUCCGGCGUGGCAAGCCAGGAGCUUGAAACAGCUUCUUUAUGCUAGAUCUCAGCACAGAAAGGCACAGCCCCCCCUGUUUCCCUACAAACCACGCAAACGCUCUAAUCAGACCUCUGCAUGACACCUCUCGGAGGCUGCCACAGAACUGUCUCAAAGCUGUGCCAAUGAGUUUGACUUGAUUACAGACUCCGAACUAGGGGAAACCCUGGCUUUUUUGCUCAGGAGUUCAGAGGUUUCCUUCUACUGAGCCUGUUUCCCCAGCAGCACAGCCUCAAACUGUAGACCUAUAUUGUGACUACGGAGCUGCUUUUAAAGGGCAGGCUCCCAGGUGCCUGGGACUCUUGAGGGAAAGCCCUGAGGGAACCACUGAUGACCUCUUCGUGGCCUUUCUCACCCUUCCAAUGGCAUCCCUAGAGUGACAGCCUCCUUAAACCACCCCAAAGUUCCAGUUUGAGCCACAGCUCUGCAUGCCCCUCCAUGCCUACCCAGACACCUCUUCUCUUUCCUCAUAUUUUUGGAUCUCCUAACUUUUCUCAGGCCUUCAGGGACAUGAUAGGCAGUGGCCAGUGUCCCUCGCCCUCAAGUAAUUCUGUGUUCUCUGAGGUCCCCUCUCUUGACCCCCAGACUCCAAACCGCUUGCUCUCCUGAGUCCCUCCCUGGCGGUACUGGCCAGAGGCCAGAGGAGUGGGUUUGGCGCCACCUGCUCGGAGCGCCCCUCCUUGACCCCCGCAAAUCUCCAGGACGGUCGUAGAGGUCGCUGUCUUCCAGGACUGGCGGGUUCCGGCGGGUAUGAGGGAGGCUAGCGGGGAGGGCCUUGCCCCAAGAGGCCCGGAGCGUGGACAGCGCACGGGGUGCUGAAUCAGGCACGGGGAGGAGGAGUGCCGGCAAGGGCGCCGGCCCGGGGAGGACGAGCAUUUCCAAUUAAUCUUGGAAUGAGAGCCGAGGGCAAGAAGCCAGCGGUGCCUGAGGGAUGCUAAAGAGCCAACCGAUCCAGGGAAACAAAUGCCAGCGAGGGACCCCACAGCAAAGAGACAGACACUGUGAGCAACUCUCCUGUUACCAUGAGGCUUGCGAGGCGUGUGCGCGGGUCUCCGCAUUGGCACCAUCUGCCAAUUCCUCAGGAGGACAGAACAAACCAGUGAGGCAUGAAGAUUAGAUUAUGUAACGCUCGAGGAUUGCUGUUUUCAAAGAGGAAACAAAUGGAAUGAAUUGAUUUGCUUGUCAAAGUCAUGUCACUAAAGGAGAUCUAUUCCCUCCCCUUCUAAGAGGACCUCAUUAAAGAGUGGAAUGAUUUCACAGAUUCAGAAAAUGUGAGACCACAAUCCACUCCAUUCAUAAGAGCAAGUCCACUUUCCAGAGUCACACUCACACAUUCUAUUCUGGUCCCCGGGCCUGAAAAAAUGUCUAUCCAGCUACAACCUAAAGGGUACUGACCUGGUGAGGAACAUAAUUGUCAGCUGCUAGCCAUAAGAUUCAGAGCCGGAGGCCAGGCGUCAUGGCUUAUGCUGGUAAUCCCAGCACUUUGGGAGGCCGAGGUGGGUGGAUCAUGUGAGGUCAGAAGUUCAAGACAGCCUGGCCAACACGGUGAAACCUCAUCUCUACUAAAAAUACAAAAAUUACCUGGGCAUGGUGGCACACACCUGUAACCCCAGCUACUUGGGAGGCCAACGCCUGAGAAUCACUUGAGCCCAAGAGGCAGAGGUUGCAGUGAGCCAAGAUCACACCACCGCACUCCAGCCUGGGGGACAGAGUGAGACGCUGUCUCAAAAAAAUAAAAAUAAAAAAUCAGAACCUGUG
rnacentral:lncRNA from 1 species